rnacentral:rRNA from 1 species
CACUCUAACGGGACUGCCCGCGGAAGCGGGAGGAAGGAGGGGACGACGUCUGGUCAGCAUGGCCCUUACGGCCUGGGCGACACACGUGCUACAAUGCCCACUACAAAGCGAGGCCACCCGGCAACGGGGAGCUAAUCGCAAAAAGGUGGGCCCAGUUCGGAUUGGGGUCUGCAACCCGACCCCAUGAAGCCGGAAUCGCUAGUAAUCGCGGAUCAGCCAUGCCGCGGUGAAUACGUUCCCGGGCCUU